CACGUAGGGGGCGAGCGUUGUCCGGAUUCAUUGGGCGUGAAGCGCGCGCAGGCGGCUCGGAAAGUCGGGUGUGAAAACUCGGGGCUCAACCCCGGGCGUGCAUCCGAUACUGCCGGGCUUGAGGCAGGUAGGGGAGAUCGGAAUUCCUGGUGUAGCGGUGAAAUGCGCAGAUAUCAGGAGGAACACCGGUGGCGAAGGCGGAUCUCUGGGCCUGUCCUGACGCUGAGGCGCGAAAGCUAGGGGAGCGAACAGG
rnacentral:rRNA from 1 species